rnacentral:tRNA from 1 species
GGGCCGGUAGCUCAGCGGUAGAGCAGGAGACUUUUAAUCUCUUGGUCGUGGGUCCGAAUCCCACCCGGCUCA